GAAAUAAUGACUUCUUUUGUCUCAUGCUUUCAGAGGUCCAGCAUUGCUAGCUCCAUUGCUUUGGAACUGUGGGAGCUAGAGCACAGGGCUCAAAGAAGAAGUGUGGCCAAUUGCAGAAGAUGGGGCAGAGAGAGCCCAUGGACACUCCAGGCUCCGGGUGAAUUCUCAUCUCUUUUCCCUAGAAGCAGAGCAGAAUGAAGUGACCAUCAAGGCCACAUCUUCCUUAUACAUUGAAGAGUGGUUGAAGAGAACACCUGAUAUCAGCCUGUGGUCUCCAUAUGGACGUGCACGUGUCAUUCCUCUGGUUGGUACCGCACACUCAAUUACCAGGGUUUGCAGAAUGAAGCAGACCUUGGCAAUACCAUCACCUACCACCAGGGGCACUGCUGCCUUGGAGACCUCCAGACAGAGAGGGCUUCUGAGAAGGCAUCAUGACCAGCUUAGUGGGAAGGAGAGGUUUUGGCUACUUACUGACAUUUGGAUCAACAUGUUCCCCUGAGAAACGAGGAGAAGCCAUCCUGUUCCUUCCAGAGCCUGGCUUCGGGAGGAUAAUAUACACUUCCAUUUGUCACCAGCAGCUCUGUGUUCUUUCCUGAGUUAUCCCAGGUCCCAGAGGAGCUCACAAAUGCUGGGAACAUUGUGAGUAGCUUUGAUCAUUUUCAG
rnacentral:lncRNA from 1 species